rnacentral:rRNA from 1 species
AUGCACGCUGGCGGCGUGCUUAACCCAUGCCAGUCGAACGAAGCACUUUAUUUGAUUUCCUUCGGGACUGAUUAUUUUGUGACUGAGUGGCGGACGGGUGAGUAACGCGUGGGUAACCUGCCUUGUACAGGGGGAUAACAGUUGGAAACGGCUGCUAAUACCGCAUCAGCGCACAGCAUCGCAUGAUGCAGUGUGAAAAACUCCGGUGGUAUAAGAUGGACCCGCGUUGGAUUAGCUAGUUGGUGAGGUAACGGCCCACCAAGGCGACGAUCCAUAGCCGACCUGAGAGGGUGACCGGCCACAUUGGGACUGAGACACGGCCCAAACUCCUACGGGAGGCAGCAGUGGGGAAUAUUGCACAAUGGGCGAAAGCCUGAUGCAGCGACGCCGCGUGAGCGAAGAAGUAUUUCGGUAUGUAAAGCUCUAUCAGCAGGGAAGAUAAUGACGGUACCUGACUAAGAAGCACCGGCUAAAUACGUG